rfam:Felis catus isolate Cinnamon breed Abyssinian chromosome A3, whole genome shotgun sequence.
ACCUGGUUGGCUCAGACAGUAGAGCGUGCGACUCUUGAUCUCGGGGUUGUGAGUUCGAGCCCCAUGUUGGGUG